GGGUGCGGGCAAAGUGUCGUGAGAAAUAAGUAUGAGAAAUUGAGUAAGCUAUGAAGAAAACUCUACUUUUCAUAGCAGUUGUAGGAAAACAUAUUAAAAUUACUUUCGUUUUCAAUAUAAUUAAGAUUCUAGAAGAUUUUUUUCACAGUGGUCCUCUCAUUGAAUCUAUUAGACGGAGGGAACUAAAAAUUGGAAUUAAAGGUUUUUUUCUUUCAAUUUAUCAAGUUAAACGUCCAAUUUUUCAUCGCUCCUAGAUUAUUUAUUUUUUAUUUUAAUUAAUGACGUUUCGAACAACUACAACCAGUGAAACAUUUCUAUCAAGUUUCAUCAAAAAGUUUAUGCACCAUUAUUGGAGUUGCAUUUGUUUUGUCUUAUGAUAUACAUAGUUGAAUUUUAGAGUUUUUUUAUUUUGUUGAAGGCAUCGACUGCUACGGUCAUUAGCCUCCAACCUAAUGCCCGCCACUUACGAGGCGUUUGCUCGAGACUUUGGGAAGCCAGGCAACCAAGAGAUUCCAGUCGGGCAGUCAAGUUCAUUCUCUGAUUUACAGUCGUACGGCCGUGUCCCGAGCUGUCUGACUGGAAUCUCUUCGACGCUAGCUACCACUGGAAAAAACGCUUCGUGAGUGGCGGGCAUAAAGGCGGUCACUCACGAGGCACCCAUGUUCGAGCGUUCGGAUAAUUUUACAGUCGGGCAGCUCGGGACACGACCGCACGACUAUAAAUCAGAGAAUGAACUUGACUGCUCGACUUGAAUCUCUUGUACGCCUGCUUCCAAACGCUCGAAAAAACGCUUCGUGAGUGGCGGGUUUAAAAUGAUCCGAACGCUCGAACAUGGGUGCCUCGUUAGUGGCCGCCUGAACUAUCACCAGACAUGUACAACAUCUAGGAUUCGAACCUGGUAUUUCUGGCACUAUAGUCGACCUUUCAGUCCAGUCUGAAUUUUAGAUAUAACUCCAUCGAUGAAUGACACAUCGUUAAAUGUCUUGCCGCCUAGGUACCUCAAAAAAUAAACAGUCUAUGUAUGGAAAUGAGAUGAAUAUUUUCCUCUAUUUCUACUGCAUUAUAUUUGAUAGAAAAAUCUUUUUUUGUUACUUUUUGCUUUAUGUGGAAUUGGACAAAAUAGAAAAAAUCUCAAUUUAUCGAUUAUCUAUUUUUUAUUAUUAAUUAUAGCUAUUCCAAAACUGCCGAACUGCCCAAUACAGCUAGGCAUCCCACGAAUCAAGUAUUAAAUGAAAUUUCCAGGCAUAUCUCAAUACCUGAAGUUGUUGGCCAGCUCAUUCUCUAGAUAUUGUUUUUUUUAACGAUAUUUUGAGCCCUUCGUGUAAGGCGUUAUCAUCCUGAUUAAUGAAAUUAGCCUCAAAUUCGUUGCGCAGAUAUAAAAUGAUUUUUUCAAUAAUGUUUUCUGCCAUUGUUCGUUCAACUAUAAUAAGAGGGCUACGGCGACGGAAUAUUAUACACCUCUGCACAUUAUCGAUCCGCCUUGAAAAGGUACAACUUCCCGGGCGAAAUUGAAUCGCUCUAGUCUGAAUGGACCUUUCCAAACCCUUUCUCGUCGACUAUCAUAACUAUAUAUGAUGAUUAUGAUUUUUUUUUGUGGUUACUCUAUUUCAAAUUCAAUAUACAUUUUCAGCUCUAGAGUGUGCGGUGCAUGUAUAGUUGAUUUUUCUGUGAAAUCUAAUAGUUCCUGGGAACUUACCCAUAAUCUGUUCAUACUGUGGAAAGUAUCCCUUUUGCAGACAGUAUGUAUUUCUUUUUUCUUGUUUCGUUUUAUAUAGAUAUUAUGAUAAUAUUUACCUAAUUACUUACUUACUGGCACUGGCUCAGUGCAAAGUUUGGAAGAACUUUUAGAGAAAUUAAUUGACAAUAAGCCAGCACAAUUAGAACACAAUGUAGGACAAAUUGCAAAUGAUUUUAUGAUAGGAAAAUUUACUGGCAGAAAUUUAAAUGCAAAUCAAUGGAUUGAAGAUUUCAAUAAAUAAUGUGACCGUUUUCAAAUCAAUGAGGGCAAAAAGAGAAUUAAAAUUUUAAAAUAUUUUUUGCAAUAUUCCGGUGCAAAUUGGUACAUAUUAGAAUAUUACUUCAUCCGAACAAAUUACGAGAGACAACCAACAUUACAUUCUACCCAUUCGUAGUAUUACUUCAUCUCACCACCGCGGCGUUGCGAAGUGACGAGGCCAUCGAGGGCUAUCAAGAGAAAAAACAAGAAUAGAUCUUCAAUGAUCUACAGCGAAUGACAGAGGUCUAACCUAAGAGAUGAGACUAUUCGACAUCGAGCUUUGCUCGGAGAGAGACAUACUAGAGAUUAUAUUAAACUAUAAAACCUAAACGGUGUAUUAGUGAAUCCUCUGCAAAACCUAUAAAUCCAAGAAGUUAUAGGCUCCAGUGCACGCUUAACUGCGCAACGAGGUGAACACUAAUUCUGAAAAUCUGUUGUGUACACAACGGGAAAAAUAUCAAUUGAGGUAAGUUGAAUUUCAACUUAAUCACGAGGCUAGAGAUAUUUUAUUUAGUUCAGUGAAUAAAAAUGAUUUAUUUCAUAUUCAUUGCUGAAAUAGAGAAUUCCUAUUAUACAGUAUUUACGGUAUUCGGAAAUAAUGUGUUUACCUAUCUAUCAGAGAAGGAAUCAACUUUGAUUCUUAAUGGUUAUUGGCCGUUGAUGCUUAGGGAAAUGAGAUACUUUACUAUACACAUGUUUUAUAGAUUUAGAUGAUGUGAAUUUGGAGACUUUACAUUCAUCAUUUAGAGAGAUGUCACAUCCACCGUUUGAGAGAUUUAGGUGAUGUACAUAAGUCAUUUGGGAUGUAAAUGUUAAGAUUUAACAUAUUCAUCGUCAACGAGAGAUGUCACAUCCACCGUUUGAGAGAUUUAGCUGAUGUACAUACAUCAUUUGAGAGGUUUAGAUGAGAACAUUUUAGAUUUUCACUUAAACCAUUCAGAGGUUGAGAUUAUGUUAACUUUAGAGAUUUUGCUAACAUACUGUCUUUUUUAGAUUAGAUAAUGUUAGAGAUUUCACAUACAACACCUAGAAGUUUGGAUGUAGAUUUAGAGAUUAUACAUACAUCGCUUGGAGCAUGUAAAAUUGGAUAUCUCACAAUCCACAUACAUAACCCAGAGAUUCAGAUAUUUUGAGAGAAUAGAUUCAUCUUACUUGUUGAAAAAUUUGGAGAAUUAUUUAUUUCACUAAACUACAAGAACUGCAGUAUGGUAAGAUUAGUGAUAAUCAAUAUUUCAGGGCUUCUUUCAUACAAUGCUUACUGUGCCGUGUUAUUUGUUUGUAAGCUAGGGAUAUUAUAGGAUUCAAGUAUUCAUCCCGUACAUGUACAAUGGCCAUACCUAACGCAACAGGUAUUCAUUUCAGUGCGUGAUACCACUUUUGAUGUAAGGUGUACAUGUACGAGGACUUGAUAGUCCAGUUUCGAAUUAUAUCAGAUCGCUGUGCGUCUGAGGCAAUUCAGAAGCAGGAAACAAAAUUUUAUAUCUUAUAGAUGGUAGUAGAUGUUGAUGUACUAAGAGAACAUAUAAUGCACAAAAAUCUCAAAAUACAUAAUAUGAAUAAUUUUGUUUCAUUAAUCCUGAAAUUGAAAUGGCAGCCAAUGGAAAUCGAGCAAAAACCAUUGGUGGAUUAAGAUAGUGAUUCAGAUUCCAUCAUUUCCGUAAGUGCAGAAGAUAGACGUUUCAUGCAAUACGAGGAAAGAGAGAAUUGUCAGAACCAAUAUAAGUCCGUUUCGUACAAUCAAUAAUUGCCAUUUCCUUGAUUUUAGCUGACUAGAGCAGUAUCAAUGAGUGAUACCUAAGAGACUAGAUGAAAGAUGCUAGAGAAAUUUUAGAGACAUAAGACGAAACCCCCUUUCGAGAUAUUAGAGAUCUGGGAGACGAGAAAUUGUCGACAUUAGAGUCAUGAGAAUAUUAUAGAUUUAGAGUAUUAGAAAACCCAGAGGUCAUAAGAAUUGAGAGAAUAUUUUCCUGGGAUUAAAUUCUAGAGUAGUAGAAAACCUAGGUUUUCAAAAAUCAAUUCAUAUUACAGAGGUAAUUAGAAUUGAGAGAAUAUUUUUUUUGGUUAAAUUCUAGAGUACAAGAAAACCCAGGUAUUUAAAAUUAAUCCAUGUUACAGAGAAUUAUUCAAAUUCGAAAUCUGGAUCGACAGUCUAAGAUCUGAGCUUUUUCAUAAAUGAUUUGUUGGACGUCAUAGAGCCAAGUACGAGUAACCAAACUUGAUCAGAGGCCAACAAAUCCGAGAGAAGUAAUUGGGUACGAGACAUUAUCAUAAACAGAAUUGAGGAGAAUUAUCACAAGAAAAUUCUCAAUAUCCGAGACCCUGUUGAAGUAAUUAGAGGUUUGAGGUUCUCCACGAAGUGCGGUCAAAUGUAACACACACUUCAGAGCAACGAUAAGCGAAAAAGAUGAGAUGAGCUUACAAUCGCUGACACAUUCCAAUAACGAGUUAUUAGGUUCGGAGGGAGAACCGGAAUCUGUGAUUGGGAGGGAGAAAGAGUAUAAUCUCAUCUCUUCAUCUGAAGAGAAAGUUCUACAAGUUUCAACUGACAAAACAGAUGAAACACAAUCUGAGCAACAAGAGAAAAAUUGGGAUUGCAGUCAUAUCAGUAGAAAUGUAAUUUAGAUCGAUGACUUGGAAUCACUCCAAAACUUAG